rnacentral:rRNA from 1 species
UGGGGAAUUUUGGACAAUGGGCGAAAGCCUGAUCCAGCAAUGCCGCGUGUGUGAAGAAGGCCUUCGGGUUGUAAAGCACUUUUGUCCGGAAAGAAAUCCUUGGCUCUAAUACAGUCGGGGGAUGACGGUACCGGAAGAAUAAGCACCGGCUAACUACGUGCCAGCAGCCGCGGUAAUACGUAGGGUGCAAGCGUUAAUCGGAAUUACUGGGCGUAAAGCGUGCGCAGGCGGUUUGCUAAGACCGAUGUGAAAUCCCCGGGCUCAACCUGGGAACUGCAUUGGUGACUGGCAGGCUAGAGUAUGGCAGAGGGGGGUAGAAUUCCACGUGUAGCAGUGAAAUGCGCAGAGAUGUGGAGGAAUACCGAUGGCGAAGGCAGCCCCCUGGGCCAAUACUGACGCUCAUGCACGAAAGCGUGGGGAGCAAACAGGAUUAGAUACCCUGGUAGUCCACGCCCUAAACGAUGUCAACUAGUUGUUGGGGAUUCAUUUCCUUAGUAACGUAGCUAACGCGUGAAGUUGACCGCCUGGGGAGUACGGUUGCAAGAUUAAAACUCAAAGGAAUUG